UGUAUGUAAGUAAGUAAGUAAAUUAUUUAUUAUAGUGACAUGUGUAAAUUAUGUACAGAUUAUAAACAUAUAAUAUAUGAUAAAUAGUAAUACACCCGGCCCAAUGGACCUAUAAGUCACCUCAAAUAAAGUAAAACAAUUAUUAAACAAUUAUAUCACGUUCUAAUCUUUUGUUGACGUAAGUAAAUUUCAAAAAUAUAUAGACAUAAAAAUAUU
rnacentral:lncRNA from 1 species